rnacentral:tRNA from 1 species
UAAGAGGAAAAUCCGUUGACUUUAUAAAUCGUGAGGGUUCAAGUCCCUCUAUCCCCAA